rnacentral:rRNA from 1 species
UACGAAGGGGGCAAGCGUUGUUCGGAAUUACUGGGCGUAAAGGGCGCGUAGGCGGCCGAUCAAGUCAGGCGUGAAAUUCCCGGGCUCAACCUGGGGGCUGCGCUUGAUACUGAUUGGCUUGAAUGCGGGAGAGGAUAGUGGAAUUCCCAGUGUAGAGGUGAAAUUCGUAGAUAUGCGGAGGAACACCGAUGGCGAAGGCAGUCCCCUGGGCCUGUACUGACGCUCAUGCACGAAAGCGUGGGGAGCAAACAGG